AUUGAACGCUGGCGGCAGGCCUAACACAUGCAAGUCGAGCGGAUGACGGGAGCUUGCUCGUCGAUUCAGCGGCGGACGGGUGAGUAAUACCUAGGAAUCUGCCUGAUAGUGGGGGACAACGUUUCGAAAGGAACGCUAAUACCGCAUACGUCCUACGGGAGAAAGCAGGGGACCUUCGGGCCUUGCGCUAUCAGAUGAGCCUAGGUCGGAUUAGCUAGUUGGUGAGGUAAUGGCUCACCAAGGCGACGAUCCGUAACUGGUCUGAGAGGAUGAUCAGUCACACUGGAACUGAGACACGGUCCAGACUCCUACGGGAGGCAGCAGUGGGGAAUAUUGGACAAUGGGCGAAAGCCUGAUCCAGCCAUGCCGCGUGUGUGAAGAAGGUCUUCGGAUUGUAAAGCACUUUAAGUUGGGAGGAAGGGCAGUAAGCUAAUACCUUGCUGUUUUGACGUUACCGACAGAAUAAGCACCGGCUAACUCUGUGCCAGCAGCCGCCGUAAAAC
rnacentral:rRNA from 1 species